rnacentral:rRNA from 1 species
GACGGGACUUCUCGGAAGAGUUUUCGGAUGGAUUUUGGGAUAGUUUAGUGGCGGACGGGUGAGUAACACGUGAGCAACCUGCCUUCGAGAGGGGAAUAACGGCUGGAAACGGUCGCUAAUACCGCAUAACGUACGGAUGGGACAUCCUGUCUGUACCAAAGAUUUAUCGCUCGAAGAUGGGCUCGCGUCCGAUUAGGUAGUUGGUGAGGUAACGGCCCACCAAGCCGACGAUCGGUAGCCGGACUGAGAGGUUGAACGGCCACAUUGGGACUGAGACACGGCCCAGACUCCUACGGGAGGCAGCAGUGGGGGAUAUUGCACAAUGGGGGAAACCCUGAUGCAGCGACGCCGCGUGUGGGAAGACGGUCUUCUGGAUUGUAAACCACUGUCCCCAGGGACGAAAAUGACGGUACCUGGGGAGGAAGCUCCGGCUAACUACGUGCCAGCAGCCGCGGUAAUACGUAGGGAGCAAGCGUUGUCCGGAAUUACUGGGUGUAAAGGGAGCGUAGGCGGGGAUGCAAGUUGGGUGUCAAAACUAUCGGCUCAACCGAUAGUCGCACUCAAAACUGCAGCUCUUGAGUGAAGUAGAGGCAGGCGGAAUUCCUAGUGUAGCGGUGAAAUGCGUAGAUAUUAGGAGGAACACCAGUGGCGAAGGCGGCCUGCUGGGCUUUUACUGACGCUGAGGCUCGAAAGUGUGGGGAGCAAACAGGAUUAGAUACCCUGGUAGUCCACACCGUAAACGAUGAUUACUAGGUGUGGGGGGUCUGACCCCCUCCGUGCC